CCUACGGGAGGCAGCAGUGGGGAAUAUUGCACAAUGGGGGAAACCCUGAUGCAGCGACGCCGCGUGGGUGAUGAAGUAUUUCGUUAUGUAAAGCUCUAUCAGCAGGGAAGAAAAUGACGGUACCUAAGUAAUAAGCCCCGGCUAACUACGUGCCAGCAGCCGCGGUAAUACGUAGGGGGCAAGCGUUAUCCGGAUUUACUGGGCGUAAAGGGAGCGUAGACGGUAGUGCAAGUCUGGAGUGAAAGGCGGUGGCUGAACCACCGGACUGCUCUGGAAACUGUAAGGCUGGAGUGCAGGAGAGGUAAGUGGAAUUCCUAGUGUAGCGGUGAAAUGCGUAGAUAUUAGGAGGAACACCAGUGGCGAAGGCGGCUUACUGGACUGUAACUGACGUUGAGGCUCGAAAGCGUGGGGAGCAAACAGGAUUAGAUACCCCUGUAGUC
rnacentral:rRNA from 1 species